GACGAACGCUGGCGGCGUGCCUAAUACAUGCAAGUUGAGCGCUGAAGGUUGGUACUUGUACCAACUGGAUGAGCAGCGAACGGGUGAGUAACGCGUGGGGAAUCUGCCUUUGAGCGGGGGACAACAUUUGGAAACGAAUGCUAAUACCGCAUAAAAACUUUAAACACAAGUUUUAAGUUUGAAAGAUGCAAUUGCAUCACUCAAAGAUGAUCCCGCGUUGUAUUAGCUAGUUGGUGAGGUAAAGGCUCACCAAGGCGAUGAUACAUAGCCGACCUGAGAGGGUGAUCGGCCGCAUUGGGACUGAGACACGGCCCAAACUCCUACGGGAGGCAGCAGUAGGGAAUCUUCGGCCAUAGACGAAAGUCUGACCGAGCAACGCCGCGUGAGUGAAGAAGGUUUUCGGAUCGUAAAACUCUGUUGGUAGAGAAGAACGUUGGUGAGAGUGGAAAGCUCAUCAAGUGACGGUAACUACCCAGAAAGGGACGGCUAACUACGUG
rnacentral:rRNA from 1 species